rnacentral:rRNA from 1 species
GGGUUGUGAGGUUAAGCGACUAAGCGUACACGGUGGAUGCCCUGGCAGUCAGAGGCGAUGAAGGGCGUGCUAAUCUGCGAUAAGCGCCGGUAAGGUGAUAUGAACCGUUAUAACCGGCGAUACCCGAAUGGGGAAACCCAGUGUGACUCGUCACACUAUCAUUAACUGAAUCCAUAGGUUAAUGAGGCGAACCGGGGGAACUGAAACAUCUAAGUACCCCGAGGAAAAGAAAUCAACCGAGAUUCCCCCAGUAGCGGCGAGCGAACGGGGAGGAGCCCAGAGCCUGAAUCAGCAUGUGUGUUAGUGGAAGCGUCUGGAAAGGCGCGCGAUACAGGGUGACAGCCCCGUACACAAAAGCGCAUGUGCUGUGAGCUCGAUGAGUAGGGCGGGACACGUGGUAUCCUGUCUGAAUAUGGGGGGACCAUCCUCCAAGGCUAAAUACUCCUGACUGACCGAUAGUGAACCAGUACCGUGAGGGAAAGGCGAAAAGAACCCCGGCGAGGGGAGUGAAAAAGAACCUGAAACCGUGUACGUACAAGCAGUGGGAGCACAGGUUUACCUGUGUGACUGCGUACCUUUUGUAUAAUG